UUUUGUCUCCUUUUUUUCUUCAGCUCUUACACAAACAAUAUGCAUUUAAAAAUAGGUUAAACUUGCAAAUAAAUAUCUAGCCAUCAGACAAAUGUAACACGUGGCAGUAGGGGAAGGAGAUAACUGCAAGCUGCAGAAUUGGUUGAGGAUAUGAACUGAUGAUCAACGUCAGGCUGAAUCUGAGAACCAAGAAUAACCACUUCACCAGAGACCACCUUUUACUACCUCUCUUUGAAAAUGGCUAGAUUUUUCUGGAAUCUAGCAAUUAAACUCCAAAAUCCAGCAAAAAAAAUUACAGAUCCCUGAAAUCCCCAAUGUCCCUGUGUUGUUCCUUCUUACUUUAAAACACAAACUACAAAUUUUACAACUCUUCAAAAUCUUGUCUUGCUUGCUGAAGUGUAUUAAGGAAAUAUAUGGGGAUGAAGGAUGCUUUCAUUCCAAUACAUUCCUUCUUCUGUAUAACCUGAUUUAUUGCACAAUGCAUCCAUUAUUUUUAUUUUGAAAAUGUGUUCAGUAUUUCAUUUUGUGAGAUAAAUAUUCAGUUGACUACCAUGAAAGUGUUGUAUGAAGGCUCAAGGUACGAUAAAGAAACUUUUCAAAGGGUCCCUCAGUUGGAUUUUCACUGAACUUUGUGGACGGUGCCUAAUGCAAGGCUGGGGAGGGGCCAGGAGGAGACUGUGCUGAGCAGCCAUUCCAAGAGUUACAAACUGAGUUCAGAGGGUUGCAGGCUGUUUCUGGAAGUGCAGCACUCUAUAUAGAGCUGAAUUACUAAAGCUAAGGGAAGAUGUCAAUAUAAAAGUGCAGUGACAUCUCAGCGAUACAGAACCAUACAACAGGGAGAAGUAAGAUCUUAUGGACUACAAAGAUUUGAAACAAGGUUGAUUAUGAUUCCUUAUUCUCAGCUCCUCCUUCAAAGCCUGCGAGUUGGAAUAAGUGGAUCUUACUGAUUACAUUUGCAGUUGAGUCUGAUCCCAGAAAAGCUUCAAGAUUUUGACCCUGGCCUGUUUCCAUUGGAGAUUUUUGCUUCAUAGGGUUUUCCAGCAAAUCUCCGGUGGAUGAAGGAUUUCUGUAUACUGAAGUUCACUGGUCCCCAAGCAGAGCUGUACCAGGCAAUCCUGGGGACCCAGAAGUCUUGUCUGAACCUCUGUUCCCCAGGUGUGAACUUGGAGAACAUCUACAAUCUCAUUCUGAGCCUGACUGGGUAGAAGCUGAGAGAGCUGGCAGUGCUAAGGAGAAGCAUCACUGAGAACCACUUCUUCAAGGCUUUUACAUCCCAGGGAAUGACCUGGCUGCUCCAGAGAGGUUCUAUGGAAUUGGUAUAUGGAUUAAGGAUGAUGUUGUGAUGACAGAGAACAUGCCACUGAUCCUUUUCAUAGACUGCCCUGAGGAGCUCUACCAUAUUAAGCGCAUAUAUAGUCACAGCUCAUUACUUCUCUCUUCUGCCUCUUCCACCUUCCUCUAGUUUCUCAGGAAUCCUGCUCCUGUGCACCCUGACAGAGAUGCAUUUAUUUGUAAAUGGAUAUAGUUCUUGGGCAGUGAGGGUUGGGCCGGGCUGUUGAUCCUUUAUGGACUCUGGAUUUAGGAGCGAGAGUUGAAGUAUAACAACAUGACUAUCAAAAAAUAAAGAAACCGUGAGUUCUGUAUUUAAUGUUUGUUCCAGUUAGUGCUGACAUGAAUAUCAGGAAUUUUGAAAGUGGAUUCUCUGCCUGUUCACGUGGCUCUUUGUGUCUGCUGUAGUUCACACGGUAUAAUGAUCUUGCUUAGUAUAGUUAGUGACCUGCUUCCUCCUCCCCUCUUGCAGCUAAAAUGCAGAGACUGAUAAUCAGGUUCCACACAGAUUUUUUGUUAGGGCCCCACAUAAAUCCAAUCUAUCCCAAAUGUUCAAAGGGUUAGAAAGGACAUUUUUGUGGGGUAGUUGUUCAAGCAUGUGAUGAUUUUGGUAGCUGCACAGCAGGAGACUGUUUGGCAAGCAGGGAACUGUUCGUCAUUUUGGAGUGUUGGAAUGAUCUUGGGGCCUUGUUUUCAGGUGGCCUAGGAGCAUAUGGCAGUUGGGAAUAGGGGGUCAUCUUGCCUAAAGAAGAGGGAAGCAAUUAAGAGCAGGGACGAAUGAAGUUUGGAGCUCUUUUCAUGGUGGUUUGGAUUACCCAGUAUUUCUGUCUGUGCUCCCCACCCCCUUUCUCAGCCUUGCAGUUUACUUUCCUUUCCCUUGUUUCCCUAGUGAUUUGAAAAAUGAUCCAAUCUUAAAAGCAUCACUGGUGCCUUAGGACUAAAAUGCUUUAUUUCUUUUGGGGCUGAGGCUUUUCAAAGCAAAACUGCUGGUCGUCUUUCUGCAGCAGCUAGUGGUAUCUCCAGUUCUGAGCAGGGGGGUUGGACUCCUUUCUAGAAGAAAGAAAUUAGAUGGAGCUUCAAGAACUGACUAAUCUUUUUAAGUAAGCCACAACAGAUCUACUGACUCUGAUGUCUUUACAAAGUGAAGGAUAGUUAGGAUAAAACCUGCCAUUUUAAUCAAAAGAGUUCCAAAGUGUAAUUCCAUAUACUAGGGUCUAUGUAUGUAUGCACAGAAGUUUAUACCUAAAUAAAUAAGGAUGCAUCUGCAGAUUCUACUCAGCACUUAAAGGAAUGGACACAAGUGUUUCAGUAUCGCAGUGCAGCAAUGUUUUUUAAUAACAAUAUAUUUUUUUAAUACCCUUUAGUAUAGUGUGGCUUCAUUAAAGAUUUUUUUACUGCUGCUUCCCUUCAUUCCCUGCCAGACAGUGCAUCAUAAACCCAGACAUACGGGUCUGCAGAUUGCACGGCUUUUACCCAUCAGCUGUCAUCCCCUUGCAAUGACGUCAGCAGGGUUGGGUGGUUUAUAAUUUACAUGGUAAUAGUAACUUAAAGGGAAAAUAGUUAAUAUUCUUCCUAUGUGUGUGCCUUGCUAUGUGUUUUCCUAAUUGUUCAGAAAUCUUAUUGACUAUAUAGAGAUUCAUUAUUUUAAAGGGACAUUACCAACUAGAUUUAGGUUUCAAAUUUAGGUGUUGUAAAAAGAAGGGUUUUGUGUAAAUAAAUACAAAUGAAACUAUUUCCCUAUUUUGGAUGGGUGGGGAAAUAAAUAUCUAGAGGUGCACUGAUAUAUCGGUUGCAUAUCAGAUUGUCACUGAUAAAAGAAAAUUAACAUUAUUGGGUAUUGGCUGUUUUUGGCUGGUGUAGCUGAUAAUGCCUUCUGGUGGGGGCCCCUGGAUGCUGCGUACAUGCGCACAGCCACACACCCAUGCAUGCAGCCAGGAAUGCAGCCAGGCAGCAUGGAGAGCAGCUCCCUGCAGGUAAGUCUUAGAGGGGAAGGGAUGUGGGGGGCGGGGGAAUAGGGGCGUGGGAGGGCAGAUUGAGGCCCCCAUGGUGAGGGAGGGAGUGGACGUGGGGGUACUGCCCAGCCAGGGUGGUGAACAGGACCCAGGGCUGGGGCAGGGAGCAGGAUAGAGCUGCGGGCAGCUUGUCCAGGGAGCGCAAGGGGACGGAGUGGGGAGGUGGGGGCGGCUCCCCGCUGCUGCAUGUACACCCGAAGGGAGGCAUGGGGGGCAUGUGCCCCCCAAGAUUUGUGCAUGGGACAGAUGUGGGCUGCUCACUGUGGGCUUGGGCUCUCCACCAUGCUGCCUUUCCCUCAGGAGCUUUGCGCUGGCUGCAUGCACCCUGCUCACCUGGCAGCAGUGUGGGGCAAUGAGUUGUGCCUCCUGUUGCUGGGAGGGCAGGGGACGCAUAGCUGCUGUGAGGCUCCCAAGGGAAGAGGCAGCAGAGCGGAGAGUCCUGAGCCUGCAGCGGGCUGCCUGCAUCUGCUCUUGCCCUGCUUGGCUUGACUUAAAAGUGUCCCCACGCUUUAAAAUGGUACCAGUACUGCUUGAACUAAAGCCCAUUUGAUGAGCUUUAGUUCAAGUGCUGCCGUUGCCAUUUUAAGUUCCAGGAUGCUGAUCCCCUGGAUGAACCACCUGCUACUCUGUUCCACUCCCCACCCCAGCCCCAGGUCCUAUUCACCACUCUGGCUGGGCAGCAUCCCCAGCCUCUGCCCCACUCUCUCCCUCACUGUGGGGGCUUCCGUCUGCCCCUCCCCACCAUGUCCCUUCCCUCCCCUUCUCAGAUUUACCUGCAGAGAGCUGCUCUCCACACUGUCUGGCUGCAUUCCUGUAAAUCAGUUAUCAGAUCGGUGUUGGCUGCCGAUAUGGCUGGUUAAUAAUUGGCUAUUGGUUGGUCAAGAAAAUCUUUAUCACUGCACCCGUAUAAAUAUCUCAUAACCUUUUUCUCUAAAGCAUUCUCUUGUGAUGCCACUACACAAAGUCCUGUUACUAGUAUGAGAACUGGGAAGGCAAGCUGAUUCAGCUUUUUGUCCACGGGGUAAUGUACAAAUAAACACGCAGCAUUAAUGGGGAAAGAGACUUAAAUGGAAAACAUUCUGUGUUAAUGCUCAUAAAUCAAAUAAGGCAUUUUCUUGCAAUUAUGAUGACUUAUCUUGGUAGUUUUUAUAACCUGUAGACUUAGACCCUGAUUCUGUAAAGUAUACGUAUGCAUUUAAUUUUAAACAGAAGAAAAUGUAGCUUUUGAACACUAGUUAUAUUGAAAACAAUGGCAAAACUCCCAUUUAGUGUGACCGUUACCGUCCCUGUAUUAUUUACCUCUAACUGGAUGUUCACUUUGUGGAAUCAGAAAAAAUAUAUGCCUUAAACUUUGAUUAUUUUAGUUAUAAGAUGACAUAACCGCUUUGUGUAGAAUUGCUGGCUCUGUACAGUAGAACAGAUAAGGGCAAGUGUUUGUUCUUUGUAACUCCUCUGCAACUGCUUUGCUCACCGUGGCCUUGAAGGUAACAAAAGAAAAGUAUAUACAAAGUUAAUUUCCAGGUGCAAGGAGGUUUGUGAACUAAUCUCGCCUCCCCCAUUAGUUCCCAUCCUGAUUACAGCAAAAAAAUAAUGAAGUAAUAUUAUAGCCGCUUUUCAUGCUAAUUUCACUAUAUGAUCACGUGAGUUGUAAGCAACUGUUAAAAAGUAUAUAAGCCUCCUGAUUUUGCUCUGGGGGGGGGACCCCUUCCAAGUGCUUGGGAAAUCCAUGUCACUUUGGAACUCCCCCUACAGCUGUAGUUUCUUUUGAAUAAAAGCUUCUGCUGACCUGA